rnacentral:rRNA from 1 species
UAUCAGCACCCCGAGUGGUCGGGACGAUUAUUGGGCCUAAAGCAUCCGUAGCCGGUUCUACAAGUCUUCCGUUAAAUCCACCUGCUUAACAGAUGGGCUGCGGAGGAUACUAUAGAGCUAGGAGGCGGGAGAGGCAAGCGGUACUUAGUGGGUAGGGGUAAAAUCCGUUGAUCCAUUGAAGACCACCAGUGGCGAAGGCGGCUUGCCAGAACGCACUCGACGGUGAGGGAUGAAAGCUGGGGGAGCAAACCGG